AUGAUUUGGAUUCAGCCGGAACAUCCGAAGCAGCUCACUGCUAUAUUCAGAAACCUGAUGAAUGUGUAUCUAUCUGAUAUCUUUUCUGAGUGUGAUCCAAUCUGGACCCUGUUUAUCCUUGAAGCUGCACCAUCCCUGCAGAAUUUUGGAUUAUCUCGAUCUCGGCAUUUAUGUCUGAGAACUCCCGAGGAUAUUGCCGAGAAGACCAACGUGGUGUGGGAGCCAUCCAAGGAUUUUAAGCACCUGAACUUGAAGUUUCUCCAGAUGAUCGGGUUCUUGGAGGAAGACAAGGUGACAACCUAUAUAAGGCUUGUCAUGGAACGAGCUGUGGGGUUGAAGAAAAUCGAGCUGCAAGGUUACCGCCCAUGCAGGGGCUACAAUGCCUCCGACCCUAACAGGAAAUCCCAGGUGGAUGAAGCUAGCAGGCGUCGGAUUAAGGAGCGACUCGAGCAUGGAUCCUCCUCAUCUGUGGAGAUAGUAAUCUGUUGA
rnacentral:rRNA from 1 species